AGGUAGAGUACUGCAGUGCUUGUCUCUGGGCUGUGUCAUGUGAAAUCCACCUUGAGUCUCUCUGCUAUAGUUAGUUGGUGCAACUCUGAAACAGCAUUUAAAGUAAUCCAUUAAUACCCAACAAAACAGCUCUUCAGUGGCAUGUAGAAUGCUAGGCUGAGGGCUUUUCCCCUUUUAACAGAAAUGGAGGCCAAGUUCCAGUUAUUGGUAGCUAUUUUUUACCCAAAUCAUUUCAGCAGCUUGGAACGUCUCAACUGGAAUAUGGCAGAUUAAUAUGACCAACAAUUAACUGUGAGGAACGUGGAAUGAGAAGAGCACAGCAGACAAAAUCCAUCUGUCCUCACUCUGCCAGAUCACCCAGAAGGAUGGUGUUUAGCAGAGAAUGCAGCUUUCUACAUGGGCUUGAGUCUUCUUGGCUUCUGGGAGCAUUUCUUCCCAGGAAGACAUCUGUGCUUGACCUGAAUGCUUUACAGCACAAAGCAUUGGAUGGAGGAGCAGGAAAAAAUGAAAUGGUCUUUUUUUUUCUUGCCUUGUGUGGGUGAGAAUUGAGGACACAUAUCAAGAUGUACCCCCUGUUCAAAGAGGCACUCUGCCUGGUCCCAGUUACACAGGUUAAUGGUGACUCAGUGGAGCUUUCUGUUGCUGAAACCCAGAGAUGAUUCCAGUUGUCCAUGGAGCUUGGCUUUGUGUGUUGCUGUCCACUGGGGGCUAAGAAAACACCAAAUAUGUUAUCCAACACCACAACUAACAGAAUGCCAUGAAGAAGAAUUCAAAACCUGUGUGCAAAAGCAGGGUUUUAUUUUUUCACUCUGACCCCUGGACUGCUCUGGUUUGUGUUUCAAGAGUCUACAUUUUUACCUAAAGAAGGAAACUGCUUCUGUUACCUCCCAUUUCCAAGGUGUUACACACAGAGUUCACAAGCACUUGAUUACAGGGUGGUCUGCACUAUAAUUUAUAACACUAAUAAAUCAGAGCCAAAGAGUACAAACCACUCUUUUUUAGUAGCUGCUUCAUCAAGGCCCUCAAAAGUUAAAAAUUGUGCUGACCUAAAGCUCUCCACCACUGCAACCUUUAAUUUUGCUUUGAAGUGGUCAGGAUGUGUCCUGAAACUGGCAGGUUUGUCUAUUUGUUCUCUGGAAAGAGGAGUAUAAUUUUGCAUUCUUGCCCUGUCCAUAAUUCAGACUCACCUAUGCAGACUUCCACUGGCAUCCUGAGGCAGAGUUCAAGCUGGGCUUAGGAAGGCUCAGGACAUUAACCUGUUCACUUCCCCCAGGGCUUCAGGGCAGAGCCUGAAAAUGUGCUUUGGGACUUGGCACUUCUGGUUAAAGUGGAAUUGGAUAGGGGAGGCAACCACUGCUCCCUGCCCUGUUUGCCUAGCCAAAGACAGAAGGGGUGGCCAAGGUUAGCCCAGUGAUGAAGAUGAAGCAGAGGAGAGGAAGAUGCUAACAGCUGUAAUGAGCUGUUUGCAUGAGGAAAGACUUCUGAAUUCCCUAGCUCUGCACAAAUCAUACUACACUGUAGGCACACCUGGAGUGCUCUGUCCAGUUCUGGGCCCCUCAGUUUAAGAAA